UACGUAGGGAGCGAGCGUUGUCCGAAGUUACUGGGCGUAAAGCGCACGUAGGCGGAUUGUUAAGUCAGGGGUGAAAUCCUGGAGCUCAACUCCAGAACUGCCUUUGAUACUGGCGAUCUCGAGUCCGGGAGAGGUGAGUGGAACUGCGAGUGUAGAGGUGAAAUUCGUAGAUAUUCGCAAGAACACCAGUGGCGAAGGCGGCUCACUGGCCCGGUACUGACGCUGAGGUGCGAAAGCGUGGGGAGCAAACAGG
rnacentral:rRNA from 1 species